GACGAACGCUGGCGGCGUGCUUAACACAUGCAAGUCGAACGGAAAGGCCCUGCUUUUGUGGGGUGCUCGAGUGGCGAACGGGUGAGUAACACGUGAGUAUCCUGCCCUUGACUUUGGGAUAACUUCAGGAAACUGGGGCUAAUACCGGAUAGGAGCUCCUGCUGCAUGGUGGGGGUUGGAAAGUUUCGGCGGUUGGGGAUGGACUCGCGGCUUAUCAGCUUGUUGGUGGGGUAGUGGCUUACCAAGGCUUUGACGGGUAGCCGGCCUGAGAGGGUGACCGGCCCACUGGGGCGUGGGAUGCGGCCCGGACCCCUCGGGGGGGCAGGAGUGGGGAAUAUUGCACAAUGGGGGGAAGCCUGCUGCAGCAACCCCGCGUGGGGGAUGAGGGCCUUCGGGUUGGAACCCGCUUUCGCCUGUGACGAAGCGUGAGUGACGGUAAUGGGUAAAGAAGCCCCGGCUAACUACGU
rnacentral:rRNA from 1 species